GGCUCUAUAGUGUAGUGGUUAUCACCUCGGAUUCUGAUUAUGUUAGUCUUCCGGUAACGCCGGUUCGAAUCCGGCUAGGGCCU
rnacentral:tRNA from 2 species